CGAUGGGGUCCCGGUGGGCGUCGGGGUCGCGCUCCGGCUCGCUCCUAUUGUCACUCUCAGCGGGCUCCGGCCAUGGCACUCGCUCGCACACACACACACACUCCCUCGCUCACUCACAACCGAGCGUGCUGCCACCGCCCCCCGCCCGCGGCCCGCCCUUCGCUCCCGCCCACCCGAGCGCCGCCGCCGGGACGCGCCGCCUCAUUGGCGCCCGCCGCUGCCGCCGGGACAGCCGGGAAAGGAAGGGGAGCGCGGCCGGAGGAGGAGCGGGUGGCGGCGGCGGCACCUCGGCGCUAUGGCUGCGGCACUUCUCGCCCCUCCGCGGGCCGGGCGGGAGCGAGACAUCAUCGGCUGAGGUACUGAGCGCACAAACCUUGAAAACGACUGGUCCUGCGAAGGAUGCCCACUUCUUGCCCACUUGCUUGCUCCCCAGAGACGUGAGCUGAUGUAACAGAGGAGUUAGGACUCAGGCGGAUGUAGUUGAGAGCGAUUGGAGCUGUUGGGAAAACACUUUCAGAAUCGCUGAUUUCCAGCCAGCACAGUCAUACUUCUUCAGCAUCUCUGUUGAGUUUUGCUAACUCAGCGAAGGCAUCCCUGAACCAUCUUGCCUGCACCACUAAGUCACGUCCUUAUGUUUGUAGACUUCCCUUGCCACGUGGGCAGCUGGACAGCAGUACAGCCAGAAGGACUACAAAAGUUGGGUAACUCUUCUGCCUUUUCAAAAAACUAGUUCAUGCACAAGAGUGCUUGGGUAAAUAUGCCAUGAAUGUUAUCAGUGGUCACAUGUGGCAUCAAAACCUGUUAUUCCCUACACAGAAACUUGUAUUCAAGUGUGAGCCAAGUCAAUAGAUAAGACAUUUCUACAGAUAUUUGCUGCGUUGAGGAGGAAAAGGCCAUAUGUACAGCCUUACAAAUUUUAAGUGGGAGAGAAACUUUGUAUGAAAGUGCUAAUCAUAACCAGAGCUUCACACACGUGCUGUGAGAAGCCCAUAGUAAACACACGCAACCUCUCACGCUUUUACUCCAUAUUCAUGCACAGAUCCUACAAUGUAUGUAUUGCCUACACCUAGCUCUUUUCUCUCUCCAGUUAAUUUCUGAGUACUGUGCAUGCUUUACACUACACUGAAAUCUGUUCCAGCCAGUCAGAGGCUGCGGUGCUGCUACAAAGGAUGAAAGCAAGGUCAAGCUAAUCAAGCCUUCGAAGAGGGUAGUAACCCACGUGGCUAUUAAAGAAGGUUACAGUAGGCUCAAACUUGUCAGGAGAGAAAUACAAACAGCUCCUUACGAGCGUAAAUAAGGCAGAUUCAAAUGUGUUUAAUUGUGCGUGCCUGUCUCAAAAUCUGGCUCAUCGUUCUUCUUUCUAUUUCUCACUCAGGGUCACCAGUGCCUGAAAACACUGAUAUGCCAAGGAAGCCAAUUCCCUGUGGGAGCAUGACUCUGCUCCACACACAGAAAUUUCCCCUUCUGUCACUUGGCAUGGUUCAGUAUGUGACUUGCUAAUUCAAAAUAUAAACAACAGAGAGGAACUAGGGCCAAUAGUUGAAGAGCUGCAAGCAGAAUUCUCAGUCCUUCCCAGUAAGUGAAUGGUACCUCCCCUCUGGAACUAUCACCCAUUUCUCUGUUCUUUUUAGCUUAACCAGAACUAUAUCCUUGGAACUUAGGAGGAAAUGGGAAAAAUGCCAUACUCGAACACACAUGGAUUAGACUGAAAAAAACAAACCGCUCAAUGUCUGCAGUGCAUGAUACAUAAUUUAGCAGGCAAGUUUCUCUCAUCCUAUAGUUCUUUUGUUCCCAUGAAUUGCUUAUUUCCCUUCUUUCUCUGCAUCGUUUUCUCCCAUAACUUUGUUGUUCUUUAACACCUUUUAAUUAUAGUGUGAAAUACAUAAGCAUGUAUUUAAAUAUAUCUCAGUUCCUGCUGCUCUCAUCUCUGUUACAAACGUGAUUUAAAAACCUCACACAUAUUUAUGCACCAUUCAUCAGGCUUCUGAGGAGGAAAAAACUUUCCAGUAUGCCUUCCUUUACAAGUUUUCCUUCAUUUCCAUGUGUCAGGGUGCACGAGGCUGCUGCAGCUUUGCAGGCUUUUCCUGAAAAUGGAUAAGAGAAUGAAACAUCCAAGUUAAACAAAUGGAAAUUACACCAGGAGUGCAGACAGACAUCUUCUGAAAGCCAAACUCGGGACGUUACCUUUCCUUCAGUUCUUUAUCUAACCCAGUGAGUGCCGACUCUCUCCCAGCAUGGCAGUGAACUUCAGCAGGAGGCAGUGAUGAUGUCUUAGCACCAGUUGCCAUAGUAAUGGUGUAUCUUCUUUCCCCUCCUGCAGCAGGAUGGAGCACCUGGUUCUGCUUUGGAGCUGCUUGAUCCUUUGGCUCUGUCCUUUGUUCAAAAGAGCUCGUCUGCACUUUUAUUAAAAAAAAAACUCAAGAAUUAAGACAAAGACCCUAAUCCAGUGUGACUUUUCACAUACAGAACUGUGCCUGGAGCAUGGACCACAUCCGCGCGGUUCUGAAACAACGCAGCGCUGCUCACAGCUCACGUUUCACUUCAGAGCCAAACUUGGAAAGCUAGCACUUGCAUUUUAAGGGAGCUGGUUUCAUCUUUUAAGUGUUUGAAUUUGAAGUUCAAAGUUAAUGUUUCAAAUUAAGGAAAGCUGGUAAUUUAUGGUAAUACAGAGGGCAUGAUGCCUUUAAUAGAAUUAUUAAACUGAA